rnacentral:rRNA from 1 species
CCUACGGGUGGCUGCAGUGGGGAAUAUUGGACAAUGGGCGAAAGCCUGAUCCAGCCAUGCCGCGUGUGUGAAGAAGGCCUUCGGGUUGUAAAGCACUUUCAGUGGGGAAGAAAGCCUUGGGGCUAAUACCCUCGAGGAAGGACAUCACCCACAGAAGAAGCACCGGCUAACUCCGUGCCAGCAGCCGCGGUAAUACGGAGGGUGCGAGCGUUAAUCGGAAUUACUGGGCGUAAAGCGCGCGUAGGCGGUCUGAUAAGCCGGUUGUGAAAGCCCCGGGCUCAACCUGGGAACGGCAUCCGGAACUGUCAGGCUAGAGUGCAGGAGAGGAAGGUAGAAUUCCCGGUGUAGCGGUGAAAUGCGUAGAGAUCGGGAGGAAUACCAGUGGCGAAGGCGGUCUUCUGGACUGACACUGACGCUGAGGUGCGAAAGCGUGGGUAGCAAACAGGAUUAGAUACCCGAGUGGUC